rnacentral:rRNA from 1 species
GGUAUCCUGUCUGAAUAUGGGGGGACCAUCCUCCAAGGCUAAAUACUCCUGACUGACCGAUAGUGAACCAGUACCGUGAGGGAAAGGCGAAAAGAACCCCGGCGAGGGGAGUGAAAAAGAACCUGAAACCGUGUACGUACAAGCAGUGGGAGCCUCUUAAUGGGGUGACUGCGUACCUUUUGUAUAAUGGGUCAGCGACUUAUAUUCUGUAGCAAGGUUAACCGAAUAGGGGAGCCGAAGGGAAACCGAGUCUUAACUGGGCGUUAAGUUGCAGGGUAUAGACCCGAAACCCGGUGAUCUAGCCAUGGGCAGGUUGAAGGUUGGGUAACACUAACUGGAGGACCGAACCGACUAAUGUUGAAAAAUUAGCGGAUGACUUGUGGCUGGGGGUGAAAGGCCAAUCAAACCGGGAGAUAGCUGGUUCUCCCCGAAAGCUAUUUAGGUAGCGCCUCGUGAAUUCAUCUCCGGGGGUAGAGCACUGUUUCGGCAAGGGGGUCAUCCCGACUUACCAACCCGAUGCAAACUGCGAAUACCGGAGAAUGUUAUCACGGGAGACACACGGCGGGUGCUAACGUCCGUCGUGAAGAGGGAAACAACCCAGACCGCCAGCUAAGGUCCCAAAGUCAUGGUUAAGUGGGAAACGAUGUGGGAAGGCCCAGACAGCCAGGAUGUUGGCUUAGAAGCAGCCAUCAUUUAAAGAAAGCGUAAUAGCUCACUGGUCGAGUCGGCCUGCGCGGAAGAUGUAACGGGGCUAAACCAUGCACCGAAGCUGCGGCAGCGACGCUUAUGCGUUGUUGGGUAGGGGAGCGUUCUGUAAGCCUGUGAAGGUGGCCUGUGAGGGUUGCUGGAGGUAUCAGAAGUGCGAAUGCUGACAUAAGUAACGAUAAAGCGGGUGAAAAGCCCGCUCGCCGGAAGACCAAGGGUUCCUGUCCAACGUUAAUCGGGGCAGGGUGAGUCGACCCCUAAGGCGAGGCCGAAAGGCGUAGUCGAUGGGAAACAGGUUAAUAUUCCUGUACUUGGUGUUACUGCGAAGGGGGGACGGAGAAGGCUAUGUUGGCCGGGCGACGGUUGUCCCGGUUUAAGCGUGUAGGCUGGUUUUCCAGGCAAAUCCGGAAAAUCAAGGCUGAGGCGUGAUGACGAGGCACUACGGUGCUGAAGCGACAAAUGCCCUGCUUCCAGGAAAAGCCUCUAAGCAUCAGGUAACAUCAAAUCGUACCCCAAACCGACACAGGUGGUCAGGUAGAGAAUACCAAGGCGCUUGAGAGAACUCGGGUGAAGGAACUAGGCAAAAUGGUGCCGUAACUUCGGGAGAAGGCACGCUGAUAUGUAGGUGAAGCGACUUGCUCGUGGAGCUGAAAUCAGUCGAAGAUACCAGCUGGCUGCAACUGUUUAUUAAAAACACAGCACUGUGCAAACACGAAAGUGGACGUAUACGGUGUGACGCCUGCCCGGUGCCGGAAGGUUAAUUGAUGGGGUUAGCGGUAACGCGAAGCUCUUGAUCGAAGCCCCGGUAAACGGCGGCCGUAACUAUAACGGUCCUAAGGUAGCGAAAUUCCUUGUCGGGUAAGUUCCGACCUGCACGAAUGGCGUAAUGAUGGCCAGGCUGUCUCCACCCGAGACUCAGUGAAAUUGAACUCGCUGUGAAGAUGCAGUGUACCCGCGGCAAGACGGAAAGACCCCGUGAACCUUUACUAUAGCUUGACACUGAACAUUGAGCCUUGAUGUGUAGGAUAGGUGGGAGGCUUUGAAGUGUGGACGCCAGUCUGCAUGGAGCCGACCUUGAAAUACCACCCUUUAAUGUUUGAUGUUCUAACGUGGGCCCCUUACCGGGGUUGCGGACAGUGUCUGGUGGGUAGUUUGACUGGGGCGGUCUCCUCCUAAAGAGUAACGGAGGAGCACGAAGGUUGGCUAAUCCUGGUCGGACAUCAGGAGGUUAGUGCAAUGGCAUAAGCCAGCUUGACUGCGAGCGUGACGGCGCGAGCAGGUGCGAAAGCAGGUCAUAGUGAUCCGGUGGUUCUGAAUGGAAGGGCCAUCGCUCAACGGAUAAAAGGUACUCCGGGGAUAACAGGCUGAUACCGCCCAAGAGUUCAUAUCGACGGCGGUGUUUGGCACCUCGAUGUCGGCUCAUCACAUCCUGGGGCUGAAGUAGGUCCCAAGGGUAUGGCUGUUCGCCAUUUAAAGUGGUACGCGAGCUGGGUUUAGAACGUCGUGAGACAGUUCGGUCCCUAUCUGCCGUGGGCGCUGGAGAACUGAGGGGGGCUGCUCCUAGUACGAGAGGACCGGAGUGGACGCAUCACUGGUGUUCGGGUUGUCAUGCCAAUGGCACUGCCCGGUAGCUAAAUGCGGAAGAGAUAAGUGCUGAAAGCAUCUAAGCACGAAACUUGCCCCGAGAUGAGUUCUCCCUGAGACUUAGAGUCUCCUGAAGGAACGUUGAAGACGACGACGUUGAUAGGCCGGGUGUGUAAGCGCAGCGAUGCGUUGAGCUAACCGGUACUAAUGAACCGUGAGGCUUAACCUU